rnacentral:rRNA from 1 species
AUGAACGCUAGCGGCAGGCUUAACACAUGCAAGUCGAGGGGCAGCAUAAUGGAUAGCAAUAUCUAUGGUGGCGACCGGCGCACGGGUGCGUAACGCGUAUGCAACCUACCUUUAACAGGGGGAUAACACUGAGAAAUUGGUACUAAUACCCCAUAAUAUCAUAGAAGGCAUCUUUUAUGGUUGAAAAUUCCGAUGGUUAGAGAUGGGCAUGCGUUGUAUUAGCUAGUUGGUGGGGUAACGGCUCACCAAGGCGACGAUACAUAGGGGGACUGAGAGGUUAACCCCCCACACUGGUACUGAGACACGGACCAGACUCCUACGGGAGGCAGCAGUGAGGAAUAUUGGUCAAUGGACGCAAGUCUGAACCAGCCAUGCCGCGUGCAGGAUGACGGCUCUAUGAGUUGUAAACUGCUUUUGUACGAGGGUAAACGCAGAUACGUGUAUCUGUCUGAAAGUAUCGUACGAAUAAGGAUCGGCUAACUCCGUGCCAGCAGCCGCGGUAAUACGGAGGAUUCAAGCGUUAUCCGGAUUUAUUGGGUUUAAAGGGUGCGUAGGCGGUUUGAUAAGUUAGAGGUGAAAUUUCGGGGCUCAACCCUGAACGUGCCUCUAAUACUGUUGAGCUAGAGAGUAGUUGCGGUAGGCGGAAUGUAUGGUGUAGCGGUGAAAUGCUUAGAGAUCAUACAGAACACCGAUUGCGAAGGCAGCUUACCAAACUAUAUCUGACGUUGAGGCACGAAAGCGUGGGGAGCAAACAGGAUUAGAUACCCUGGUAGUCCACGCAGUAAACGAUGAUAACUCGUUGUCGGCGAUACACAGUCGGUGACUAAGCGAAAGCGAUAAGUUAUCCACCUGGGGAGUACGUUCGCAAGAAUGAAACUCAAAGGAAUUGACGGGGGCCCGCACAAGCGGAGGAACAUGUGGUUUAAUUCGAUGAUACGCGAGGAACCUUACCCGGGCUUAAAUUGCAAAUGAAUAUGCCGGAAACGGCAUAGCCGCAAGGCAUUUGUGAAGGUGCUGCAUGGUUGUCGUCAGCUCGUGUCGUGAGAUGUUGGGUUAAGUCCCGCAACGAGCGCAACCCUUAUGGUCAGUUACUACGUAAGAGGACUCUGGCCAGACUGCCGUUGACAAAACGGAGGAAGGUGGGGAUGACGUCAAAUCAGCACGGCCCUUACGUCCGGGGCUACACACGUGUUACAAUGGUAGGUACAGAGGGCAGCUACCCAGCGAUGGGAUGCGAAUCUCGAAAGCCUAUCUCAGUUCGGAUUGGAGGCUGAAACCCGCCUCCAUGAAGUUGGAUUCGCUAGUAAUCGCGCAUCAGCCAUGGCGCGGUGAAUACGUUCCCGGGCCUUGUACACACCGCCCGUCAAGCCAUGGGAGCCGGGGGUGCCUGAAGUUCGUGACCGCAAGGAGCGACCUAGGGCAAAACUGGUGACUGGGGCU